rnacentral:rRNA from 1 species
GAUUAUGGCUCAGGAUGAACGCUGGCGGCGUGCCUAACACAUGCAAGUCGAGCGAUUACUUCGGUAAAGAGCGGCGGACGGGUGAGUAACGCGUGGGUAACCUGCCUCAUACACAUGGAUAACAUACCGAAAGGUAUGCUAAUACAGGAUAAUAUAAGAGAUUCACAUGGAUUUUUUAUCAAAGCUCCGGCGGUAUGAGAUGGACCCGCGUCUGAUUAGCUAGUUGGUAAGGUAAUGGCUUACCAAGGCGACGAUCAGUAGCCGACCUGAGAGGGUGAUCGGCCACAUUGGAACUGAGACACGGUCCAAACUCCUACGGGAGGCAGCAGUGGGGAAUAUUGCACAAUGGGCGAAAGCCUGAUGCAGCAACGCCGCGCGAGUGAUGAAGGCCUUCGGGUCGUAAAACUCUGUCCUCAAGGAAGAUAAUGACGGUACUUGAGGAGGAAGCCCCGGCUAACUACGUGCCAGCCGCGGC